GGCCUAAUGCAGCAUAGUCCUGUCACAAGCCAGGCUGAAAAAUGCAGAGUGAGGCA
rnacentral:ribozyme from 2 species